GGCGCUGGGUCAAGAGGGCCGGCGCUGGGGAGGAAGGGGCGGCCCAGCUCGGAGGAGAGCCACGCCUCUCCCUUCGGCUGCACCUGAGGAGUCUGGGCUGCCUCGAUGGUGCAUGAGGGCGGCUGCCUACAAAUUGCUUCUCGGGAAGCGGGAGGCCGCUGGAAUGAAACUGUUUGAGGCGCUAAAACCACAGAGUGCUUCCUUCAUUUCUGUGGUUGGGUGAAUGUGGUUUGAGAAUUGUAGUCGAAUCCACCUAAAUGGAUCGAACUGGACUUAACGUCCCUGUAAAGUUGGUGCUGUUGUUUUCCAUUAAAGAAGCAUAUCUGAUAUAUCAGAGCUUUGUUUCCUCAUUAUUAUGAAAAUACUGACAUGGCAAUUAGAAGAUAGAUUGCUACAUUAUGUCUUACUAUCUACAAAUCAUGAAUAAUUUGAACAUAUUGACUAAGGUAUAACUUUCUCUUGCUUACCGCUAACUGGUUUUUCCAGUCUCAAUUAGGUAAAACAAUUUUUGUUGUCCUGUUUGUUCAUUAGUUCUCUUCUCCCAUUCAUUUGAAUUGGUAUUUAGAAUGCCAUAUUAUGCCUAGUCCAAUAGAUCUUGCAAGCAUAGAUAAUAUCUGUUUUAAAAUUCUGAAGCAGUUCUAAAAUUGUCUAAUUCUUCAAAAUUGGAGAACGGUUUAUGUAAAAGGAGGUGUUAAAUGCACUCCUGUCCUAGAUAGGGCCAAUUUCACAUUCAGUAACAAUUUAUUUGAAAUAUGAGCCCUGUAAUACACCCUGAGCCUUUUAAAUUGGGCUUGGAAAGCAAGUAAGGAGGAAUAGGUGGUUAAUCAGUUAAAGCUAGAGACAGUAAGGGGAACUUUUAUUCAGUAUCAGCUCUGGAAGAAGGAAGACCCCCCAGACUAUGAAUCUGUUCCUUAAAGAAGAAUAUAGAGCUAUUAAAUAACUUAAGAAACAGAACAGAACUUUGCAAAAUGCAGCUCAAAAUUCAGGAGGCCAGGCAGAUGUUAGGUAUUAUCCCUGUUAGCACCCAAAUAAAUAAGGGUAGAAACAAAAAUACUACUCCUAGUUUACUCAGCUGCUCCAAAAAGAUACCACUGUCAAUGGCAACAAAGGCCACUGAUAUACCUAAUGGUAUCAGUAGAGUCAUAGUUUGCUCUAGACAACUAUCUAAUGGGUAACCUUGGCUUUUCUGUGCCAAAUACAAACCUAAUCCCACAUUAAAAGGUUUUGAUAUCUAUUUCCUACUAUUGUUUCUGGAGCCACAACACCACUGCAUUUGUUUAUGGUUUGACUAAAUAUGGAAUAUUGGACACUGGGCUCCACUUGUUCAGAUUAUCAAACUUGUUGUUUAGUGGGUUGUUAUGGAGCAUUAUUUCAUUGUUGAAAAUUGUAACAGAUUUAGAACAAAAUCUCUGAGCAAAGAGGGACAGAAGGUUAUGUGUGCAUGGACAGAUAUGUGCCUGUGCCCUGAUGUGGCCUUUGAGGUCUGAAAAAUUGGAGUUAUUAUGCAUUUGAGAUAAGUGUGCAGGACAAUUUGGAACAAAACCGCUGAAAUAUGGAAAGAGUAUAAGAUACCCUUUUUAAUAUAGCCUCUAAUGGGGAGGAGUAGCCUUUUUAUAUAAUGAGAUCAGAGGCUUUAAUAUAAUUGAGGGAGGUAGAAUUGGAGAACUGAAUGACGUGAAUGGGAAUGUAUACAAUAGAAAGUAAAAGUUAGAAAAGGCAAGCAUAGGUGCAUUGAUGAACUAAAAUGUGGGCUUUGAUCUUGAACACAAAUAUAUAUAGAAAACCAGAAGAGAGAUUUUGAUUUCAAAUAAUUUUCAGGUUACAAUGGAUGUCCCUGGUAAUGAACACAACACUAGGAAGGCCAGGAAGGACUUGGAAAAUCCAGCGCAAGCCACAGACAAGUAGAGGGAGAAUGGGAGAGGGCUAGGGAAGAACUGCAGAGGCUGCGCAUGGGCAGGUAUGUGUGCUAUGGAUGGGAGAAAUUUACUGUAAUAAUUGGUGACUUUCCCUGCCAGGUUUUCCAAUUACUUUGUGGGAAGCCAGCUGGGAAGGUUGCAAAUGGUAAACAUGUAUUGCAGCUCCUUGCAAUGUCAAAAUCAUGAGCUGAAUGCCCAGAUUGUGAUCACAUGAUUGUGUGGGUAUUGUGAUUGUCAAAACGUCAAGGAUCAGUUGUAUGUCCAUUUUUUCUGCACUACUGUAACUUUGAAUAGUUGCUGAGUGAAUGGAUGAAAGCUGAAGACUGCUUAUAGUCUUGUAGUAUGAAUGAUGGAUGUGUUGGAUAAGUCUGUAAAUUUUGGAUAUAUAAAGGAUGAUGAACUUGCUUGGCAGUUACACAUAUUAAGCAUAUUUGUUUAUAUGUACUUUUUCAUAUUUAUAAUCUUAUAUUUGAAGUGUAUAAAUAUAUUAAUAUACUUCAAAAUAUUGAUUGAAAUAUUUACAAGCUAAAAUAUUCUGUGUAGAACUUUAAUUACAAUUUCUUGGAAGCGAUUCAUGUUGUGCAAUAUGUUUUAGCAAGUAGUCUAAACAAUCAAAUAUCUUCAUUUACAUGUAAGAACACAUGGAUUUAACUAGAUAUUUUAGAACAGGGUUCCCCAGUCUGUGAGCCACGGCCCAUUACCUGGCCGUGGCCUCUUGGUCACUGGGCUGCGUGAAUGGCUGGCUAGUGCACAUGCAUGUGUGUGUGCACGUCCCCCACUUGCGCUAGCGCUGCCCUGUCGCGCAGGUGCUAGCACUGCCCCCAUUUGUGUCGUGUUCACACUCGUACCACCCUGUUUGUGUCAUGCAUAUGCACUUGGCCCUGUGCCUGCCCCUCUCUUUCCCUCCAGGCCACCAACUACUCUAGAAGCUUCAGUAGAUUCUUCUAGAUAUUGCUUGUUCUGUAUAUAGACAACAUAGAAUUUUAAAGUACAUUAUGUUGCAUAUUUUGUGCACAACUUUUCCUGUAUGUAUUAUAUGGGAAGCCGGAUCACAGUACAUACAUUAAAGUGUGUUAAAAAACCAUUUCUUCACAGCCACUUUGGAAAAUUCCACCUUGUGAAUUAAAAUAACCUGCUAUUGAUUGUUUUUGACAACAUAAUUAGUUCUAUAAAAAUUACCCAUUUUCUGUUAAAAUCCAAUGAUAUGUGAUAUAAGGACAUAUGAAUUAACAUUUUCUAAAUAGAGACUAGUUGGUAUAUACCUUAACUUUUAGGUGACUGGAAAAAAAUACAAGCAUAUUGGGGAGUUUUAUUAAUACAUUCUUGCUGCAUGCACAACUAAUAGCUACUGAUAUCUGUCAUUUUCAUCAAUGUUUUUAAAAGGAUUUUAAUGUUCAUGAAUAUUUUUUUCUAAUUAGUUGCUUGGUAUAGAGAUGAAUGGCAUACAAAUUUAAUAAAUAAAAUAAUAAAUAAUUCAGUCUUCAGGUAUGUAGCAGUUAUAAUUAGCAGUAUAUUGGCAUGAACUGCUACAUGAUUUCUGUUAUUGUCAAUUUGAUAGACUUUUUAAAAAAUACAAUUCAGGAACUCAUUAGUAUGUAUGUGUGAUUAUUUAUUUGCUUGUUUCUAUUAAACAAUUUGAUUAUAAAAGUAUAACAAAAAAAACAGUAAUUGACUUUGAACUGCUUAUUUUAUUAUAUCCCUACUAUUGUGAAUAAAGAUAUCACUAAGAGCAAAGGUAAAAGCCAUAUAUUCUUAUGGUAACACUAAAUACAUUUUAUAUGUCAAUUAGCACGAUAUUUGAGAAAGCUUAUUGAAAAUGAAGAUUUUGAUUGUAGGACUAUAGAUUUAAACUUAUUCUUUAUUCUUUUAAAAUUAAAACAUUGCCUUGUUGCCUAAGCAGAUACAAGAUUGUUGGCUGAGCAGGUACAAAGACAGCCAGCGAAGUGAUUGAAGCCUGGGAAAUGGCCCCUUGUCAGUCAAAUGUGACUUUGUCUAAAUGUGAGAUCAGUUAAUAUUAUCUGUAUUAGGAGGGAUGAGAAAUUAAGCCUAAAAACAAAAACGUCUUAUGAAACAGUGCCAUAUUCUGUACUGAAAAUCUAGAAUUUUUUUAUAACUAUCUGUAUUUUAUCUAUGAAAAAGAAUAUUUUUGUGGAGAAGUUGUUCUUGAUUGUAUGUUAUUUAAUUAAAAAAUAAAGAGAAAAAAAUAGUGGAAGAUUUAGAAAAAAUAGAGCAAUAACAAAUAACAACUUUCCUUCAGGUUUCCCCAGGGAAUAUAACAUUAAAAGUUGGCCAGGUUAUUUUGGCACCUGAGGAGUGGAAAAUGUUUUCUUUCAAUAACACUGCAGUAAAAUAAAUAAUCAGCUGAGGUCAAAAAUAACACAAGAGGCAAUCCAUCAUGGUACUAAGACUUCAUUUUGGUGCAUUAAUACCUCUUGCUUUAUUUUGCUAGCUUCCUAAACUUUAAUAAAUAGGGAUUCAGUCACAUCCGCUUUGGUAGGAUGGACAUAUUUCUUCUUUUUAUUGUUUGUUCAUUUGGACUAAAAAUUAUAACACGUUUAGACAGUCUUAACUAAAUAUUUGUAACUUGUGUUUCUGUUGAAAAGGAUCUAUAAGGCAACUGAACAAUACCAGAAAAGCAUAACAACAUGCUAAAUGACCACAAAAGCACAUUCAGCCACCUAUUGUACACCAGAUAAUUAUUUCUUAAGAUGGAUGGGGUUUGUUCUGUUUUUCAAAGAUCAAAGCCAGCAUUUUGAAUUAAGAACUAAAGUAGCAGAUGCAAAAAGACUCUGCAUUAGUUUCCCUCAAAAACUGUGAACAAACAUGCAUGGCUGUCAAACUCAACACAAAAAUAGUUUUCCAGAGCUAUAGUUAUAUUAGUCUGUUGUAUUAUAAGCAGUUGUCUUAACUGCAUCCUUAACACCUUUGUGCACUGCAGUCCACAUCAUUGUAUUUCAUGAAGGGAUGGUAAGUCUCUGUGGUAUUUGAGGGCUUCUGAAACAGUGUGAUUAAGAUGAAGUGAAAUACAGAAACUACAGUCUUAGCUGAUAGAAACAGCUAUUGCACAGACAGUUGUUGGACAUCACAAAAGAAAUUUUCUCACUGGCCAGCUCAUUUACAUUUGGGCUUGUGUUAUAUACAAUGCUAUCGCUAAAUAUGGUUGUUUGAUUUGAUUUGGAGCAUGCACUACAUGUGGUCCUGGAAAGCUAGUAAUGUGAGCCCCAUAAGAUCAUAAACUUUUAACAUUAUUAUGUGAUUUACUGUAUAUGCAUUAAUUAUAUACUUUAUUAUAUAGAGCCCAAGAUUAUUCCUUUUCACCCAGUGCAGCCCAGGCAAGCUAAAAGUUGGACAUUGAUGGCUUAGAGAGAUGUAUAAUUCAAGCUAUUAAUUUUACAGGAGGGAUCUUACAUUCUUGUGAAAGUUCAGUUAAUUAUUAAAAAAGUGUUUGUGGUACCUGCAUCAUUUUGUAUAAUGCCUGAAAAAGAUGUCUACCUUUACGGCAACUAAGACCAAACCAAAAAAUGCUGACUUACCCAUUCUUUGUAGAAUGAAAAUAUGGCCGAUAGAUGGAUUAUCUCUUUUUUAUUUGUUUACUGUGCUUCUGAAUCUUGUGUUUUCAAAUAGGGUUAGUAUGAGGUAUAAGUAAGAACAAAAUAUUAAUAAAUAUUAAUAAUUGAUCUUUUCAGAUAAAAUGAGUGAUAGUCUAAUGUAGUUCUUAGCACUGUACAGAGACAACCUGAUUUGAAGGCAAAUAUAUGUGUCCCAGGAUAAUGAUGCGAGAUUGAAUUUGGAUCAGUCACCGGGACCAAAGAUUUUGGACUCAUGCUGGAGCCCAUCUUCAGGGAACUUCUCUCUACUGAAAUAUGUGCUUUGGGCUGUUCUGUGAGCUCGGAAGAGUAAAUCUCUGAUCUGACCCAAAUUCAAUCUCACAGCCUGAUUUGUUCAAAGGGCAGAUACAGGCCUCUAGUAAUAUUUUGUAAUAAUAAUUAAAUGUCCUAUAUUGAUUCCACAUAGAUUUACUGGAAUGUUUCCUGCCUUAAAAUAUGAUUUCUGAAGAAAUUAAGCAGGGACAAUUCCUUCUAUAGUAUUAAAAUUUUUAGGGCUUAUUUUUUUUUAAUUCUGUUUUUAAAGUGGUUGAGAUCCAGCUAUUGCAACAGAGAUAUUCCCCAUUUUAAUCAUCUGUCUUCUCAGCAGCCAACUUGCCACUCAGAACUUGUCCAAUCUGAGUGGCAAGACUAGAUUUCUUGAUAAUGCUACUGUGCAGACAUACUAGUUCAUGGCUCAAUGAAAAAUUAGAGCAAUAACAAAGCAGUUUGUGUGAGGAGGAAAUUAGAUACUGCAUUCUUCUUUCAAGGUCUACUUUGAUUUAGUUCUAUGUAGGAUUGCAGUCAUUUCAGAGUCUGACCAGACCUGUUAGAGAAAUCUUAUUCAGAAAAUUAUCUCUUUUGAUUAUAGCAGGUUUCCUAAAACUUCCAGUAAUCAUCUGUGAAUACUAUUUGAUGAAGAUCCUUUAUACCUUGCCAAUCAGCUCCUGCAUUACCCAAUCAGAAGCUUGCCCUCUAUACCCAACCUUUCAAAAAGGCUGAGAUAUUGCAAUAUGAUCAUAGGUCACUUCUUAGCAGAGGACAAAACUGUUAAUCUCUGAAUUCAAAGCUUCUUCCUUCUCCCUUGUCCAGCAAGCAUUUUACAUGUUCAGACACAUGUUUUGUAAAAAAAAAAAAAAAAA